GCCAGCCUUGUGAGUCAGCACCCAGCAGCUAUCUCUGCAAGUCAUACGGUGAUGGGUCAUGACAUCAGCAAGCCCUGCUGAAAAAGCAGUCCCCCACCCCCACCUUAGACAGUGUUUCUCUGUGAAGUCCUGCUGUCUUGACCUGCUGUCCUGAUCAGACUGGCCUUGAACUCAGAUCUGCCUGCCUCUGCCUCCUUGCUUCAAUUAAGGGCCUGUGCCACCACUGCCUGGUGCAGCACCCUUCUUUUUAAACAGAAACUAGAGAAUAAGAGCUGGGCACUGAUGUCCAGAGUAUCACCACUUCCUAAAAUUUUUGCUUUAGUUACAUGCAAAGCUGUAUGUACUGCAUUACAAUGUAAAAUCUGCUUUAGCUACAUGCAAACCUGUGUGUACUGGUUUACAAUGUAAAAUCCAUUCCUUAUUGUGUGGCUUGUAACUUAAGGAUACAAAUUUAGUUUAGAAAAUUUGGAUGCAAAAUAUCUAAAAGAGAAAACACAAAUAGCCCAAGGAUGGUUCCCUGGGAUGGGAAGAAGGUGUUAGGCCGAUGGACUUCCCAGAAUUAUGUACAGUUUUGUUUUCAAGCGAUGCACAUGUGUUGCUUUUGCAGGAAGGAAGCCUGUGUUUAAGGAUUUUAGGACAAAUGAACAAUCUUCCAUCCUUGGAAUCACUCAGAAAAUUCUCCAAAAACACACCUGGUCCCUUGGAAGUUCCACCAGGGUCCCAGCCACUCUUCCUUACCAUCUGGAGCAAUGUGGUGGAAUCAUAGAGCAGCUCUCUCAGCCUGAGUCAGCGCAGCACCAGGACACCUGUUAUCCACUCAGCAUUGCCAUGAACAUCACCAGUCAUACACUCACAUAG
rnacentral:lncRNA from 1 species